CCUACGGGGGGCUGCAGUGGGGAAUAUUGGACAAUGGGCGAAAGCCUGAUCCAGCCAUGCCGCGUGUGUGAAGAAGGCCUUCGGGUUGUAAAGCACUUUCAGUGGGGAAGAAAGCCUUGGGGCUAAUACCCUCGAGGAAGGACAUCACCCACAGAAGAAGCACCGGCUAACUCCGUGCCAGCAGCCGCGGUAAUACGGAGGGUGCGAGCGUUAAUCGGAAUUACUGGGCGUAAAGCGCGCGUAGGCGGUCUGAUAAGCCGGUUGUGAAAGCCCCGGGCUCAACCUGGGAACGGCAUCCGGAACUGUCAGGCUAGAGUGCAGGAGAGGAAGGUAGAAUUCCCGGUGUAGCAGUGAAAUGCGUAGAGAUCGGGAGGAAUACCAGUGGCGAAGGCGGCCUUCUGGACUGACACUGACGCUGAGGUGCGAAAGCGUGGGUAGCAAACAGGAUUAGAUACCCUAGUAGUC
rnacentral:rRNA from 1 species